rnacentral:sRNA from 1 species
UGGUUUGAAGUGGUGAACAUGGAUUUUUCUCGGCUUCACAUGUACAGUCCUCCCCAGUGUGUGCCGGAGAACACGGGCUACACGUAUGCGCUCAGUUCCAGCUAUUCUUCAGAUGCUCUGGAUUUUGAGACGGAGCACAAAUUGGACCCUGUAUUUGAUUCUCCACGGAUGUCCCGCCGUAGUUUGCGCCUGGCCACGACAGCAUGCACCCUGGGGGAUGGUGAGGCUGUGGGUGCCAACAGCGGCACCAGCAGCGCUGUCUCCCUGAAGAACCGAGCGGCCAGGUGAGCACCACUGCACUUCCUCUCCAUCUGAUCUCUAACACCAGUUAAAACCAAGCUUCCAUACUUUUUGGUCUGUAAAGCCACACCCUGUCUCGAGCUUAAGGAUAUGUGUGUGUAUGUGCGUGUACAGACACACAAACCUGCCAUAUAAAGUGGUAGCUUGCUGCAAAUAAAGACUGAAAGGAACUCUGGAA